GACGAACGCUGGCGGCGUGCUUAACACAUGCAAGUCGAGCGGUAAGGCCUUUCGGGGUACACGAGCGGCGAACGGGUGAGUAACACGUGGGUGAUCUGCCCUGCACUCUGGGAUAAGCCUGGGAAACUGGGUCUAAUACUGGAUAUGACCUCAGCAUGCAUGUGCUGGGGUGGAAAGCUUUUGUGGUGCAGGAUGGGCCCGCGGCCUAUCAGCUUGUUGGUGGGGUAAUGGCCUACCAAGGCGACGACGGGUAGCCGACCUGAGAGGGUGACCGGCCACACUGGGACUGAGACACUGCCCAGACUCCUACGGGAGGCAGCAGUGGGGAAUAUUGCACAAUGGGCGGAAGCCUGAUGCAGCGACGCCGCGUGAGGGAUGAAGGCCUUCGGGUUGUAAACCUCUUUCAGCAGGGACGAAGCGUGAGUGACGGUACCUGCAGAAGAAGCACCGGCUAACUACGUGCCAGCAGCCGCGGUAAGAC
rnacentral:rRNA from 1 species